rnacentral:rRNA from 1 species
AGAGUUUGAUCCUGGCUCAGAUUGAACGCUGGCGGCAUGCUUUACACAUGCAAGUCGAACGGCAGCGGGGGCUUCGGCCUGCCGGCGAGUGGCGAACGGGUGAGUAAUGCAUCGGAACGUGCCCAUGUUGUGGGGGAUAACUACGCGAAAGCGUAGCUAAUACCGCAUAAGCCCUGAGGGGGAAAGCGGGGGAUUCUUCGGAACCUCGUGCGAUUGGAGCGGCCGAUGUCGGAUUAGCUAGUAGGUGAGGUAAAGGCUCACCUAGGCGACGAUCCGUAGCGGGUCUGAGAGGAUGAUCCGCCACACUGGGACUGAGACACGGCCCAGACUCCUACGGGAGGCAGCAGUGGGGAAUUUUGGACAAUGGGCGCAAGCCUGAUCCAGCCAUGCCGCGUGAGUGAAGAAGGCCUUCGGGUUGUAAAGCUCUUUCGGCCGGGAAGAAAUCGCAUUCUCUAACAUAGGAUGUGGAUGACGGUACCGGACUAAGAAGCACCGGCUAACUACGUGCCAGCAGCCGCGGUAAUACGUAGGGUGCGAGCGUUAAUCGGAAUUACUGGGCGUAAAGCGUGCGCAGGCGGUUUUGUAAGACAGAUGUGAAAUCCCCGGGCUCAACCUGGGAACUGCGUUUGUGACUGCAAGGCUAGAGUACGGCAGAGGGGGGGUGGAAUUCCACGUGUAGCAGUGAAAUGCGUAGAGAUGUGGAGGAACACCGAUGGCGAAGGCAGCCCCCUGGGCCUGUACUGACGCUCAUGCACGAAAGCGUGGGGAGCAAACAGGAUUAGAUACCCUGGUAGUCCACGCCCUAAACGAUGUCGACUAGUCGUUCGGAGCAGCAAUGCACUGAGUGACGCAGCUAACGCGUGAAGUCGACCGCCUGGGGGAGUACGGCCGCAAGGUUAAAACUCAAAGGAAUUGACGGGGACCCGCACAAGCGGUGGAGGAAGUUGGAUUAAUUCGAUGCAACGCGAAAAACCUUACCUACCCUUGACAUGUCUGGGAACCUUGCUUAGAAGGCAAGGGUGGCCUUCCGGGAGCCAGAACACAAGUGGCUGCAUGGGUUGUCGUCACCUCCCGUCCCGAGAAGGUUGGGGUUAAAUCCCCCCACCAAAGGGCACCCUUUGUCUCAAUUUGGCCCUCAAUUUGGUUGGGGACCCCCAUUGAAAACUGCCCGUGGCCAUACCCGAGGAAAGGUGGGGGAGUGGAGGUCAAAAUCUCCAUGGUCCUCU